AACUCUUUGGGUCUUUCCACAUAGGUGGAAAGCAAAGGCCAUAUCUUGGCUAGAAAAGAAGAACGAUCUAGUGAGCAAAGGAGGGAUGAAUUUUCCUAAUUUUUCCUCUUUCUUCUUUGUCAUAUUCUUUACCUUUGCUAUUUUAUUUUAGUUAUUAUUUUUUAUUUAUUAUUUUGAGAGGAAACCAAAGAAUCUUUCCUCUAAAAUCUUUAAUGAUGAAAGUUACCAGGAGUUAAGCUUAGCUGUAAAAGUCUCCUCUCUGCCUUGCUCUCUGUGGGAAUAUGCAAUGUUUUGACAAAAGCUAGUUCAGGAAAAACGUUCAUGUACAAAAGUUCUGGGAGCUGAUAAUAGUUGUGUUCUUUUCUUUUCCUUAUAUAUAUAUAAAGUAUGUCUGAGAUAUUAAGCAUUAGCAUUGUUGAGUUAUGGUUUUGAUGAUAACAUAAACCACAUCUUCAAAGCAAACAACUUUGCUAAAAAUUUACUGCUGUAGUGAUUCUUUGACUUGUCUGUAGCUACCCUUGCUUAAGAAAUAAGGAAUUACAUGGAUGACUAGACUUGGAAACUGAUCUUGAUCAUUUUGGGCUUAUUUCUUAAUUAGCAUGGUUAUCCUAUCUUCAUUGAUUGCUUACAGAUACAUGAUCUUUUUCUUUUUGGA
rnacentral:misc_RNA from 1 species